rnacentral:rRNA from 1 species
UACGGAAGGCAGCAGUGGGGAAUAUUGCACAAUGGGCGCAAGCCUGAUGCAGCCAUGCCGCGUGUAUGAAGAAGGCCUUCGGGUUGUAAAGUACUUUUCAGUCGUGAGGAAGGUGUUAAGGUUAAUAACCUUAGCAAUUGACGUUAGCGACAGAAGAAGCACCGGCUAACUCCGUGCCAGCAGCCGCGGUAAUACGGAGGGUGCGAGCGUUAAUCGGAAUUACUGGGCGUAAAGGGCACGCAGGCGGUUAAUUAAGUUGGAUGUGAAAUCCCCGGGCUUAACCUGGGAAUGGCAUUCAAGACUGGUUAGCUAGAGUCUUGUAGAGGGGGUAGAAUUCCAUGUGUAGCGGUGAAAUGCGUAGAGAUGUGGAGGAAUACCGGUGGCGAAGGCGGCCCCUGGGCAAAGGCUGACGCUCGAUGUGCGAAAGCGUGGGGAGCGAAA